rnacentral:rRNA from 1 species
GAUGAACGCUAGCGGCAGGCUUAAUACAUGCAAGUUGAGGGGCAGCAUGAUAUACGCGAGUAUAUUGAUGGCGACCGGCGGACGGGUGAGUAAUAGGUAGGAGACCUACCUCGUACAGGGGGAUAGCAUAGAGAAAUCUGUGGUAAUACCCCAUGAGGUUAUAUGAAUAGAGGCAUAUAAUCAAAGCAUAAGCGAUUAUGCGGUAUGAGAGGGGCCUACUGACCAUUAGCUAGUUGGUGAGGUAAGGGCUCACCAAGGCGAAGAUGGUUAGGGGUUUGAGAGAGAGACCCCCCACAUUGGAACUGAGAGACGGUCCAGACUCCUACGGGAGGCAGCAGUAGGGAAUAUUGGGCAAUGGGCGAAAGCCUGACCCAGCCAUGCCGCGUGAAGGAAGACGGCCUUAUGGGUUGUAAACUUCUUUACUACGCGAAUAGAGGUUAGUACGAGAUACUAAUAGGAAGGUAGUGUAGUAAAAAGCACCGGCUAACUCCGUGCC